rnacentral:rRNA from 1 species
UACGUAGGGUGCGAGCGUUAAUCGGAAUUACUGGGCGUAAAGCGUGCGCAGGCGGUUUUGUAAGCCAGAUGUGAAAGCCCCGGGCUUAACCUGGGAAUGGCAUUUGGGACUGCAAGGCUGGAGUAUGGCAGAGGAGACUGGAAUUCCUGGUGUAGCAGUGAAAUGCGUAGAUAUCAGGAGGAAUACCGAUGGCGAAGGCAGGUCUCUGGGCUGACACUGACGCUCAUGCACGAAAGCGUGGGGAGCAAACAGG